AACGAACGCUGGCGGCAGGCUUAACACAUGCAAGUCGAGCGCCCCGCAAGGGGAGCGGCAGACGGGUGAGUAGCGCGUGGGGACGUACCUUUUGGUUCGUAACAACUCCGGGAAACUGGAGCUAAUACCGGAUAAGCCCUAACGGGGAAAGAUUUAUCGCCGAAAGAUCGGCCCGCGUCUGAUUAGCUGGUUGGUGAGGUAACGGCUCACCAAGGCGACGAUCAGUAGCUGGUCUGAGAGGAUGAUCAGCCACACUGGGACUGGGACACGGCCCGGACUCCUACGGGAGGCAGCAGUGGGGAAUAUUGGACAGUGGGCGCAAGCCUGAUCCAGCCAUGCCGCGUGAGUGAUGAAGGCCUUAGGGUUGUAAAGCUCUUUUGUCCGGGAAGAUAAUGACUGUACCGGAAGAAUAAGCCCCGGCUAACUUCGUG
rnacentral:rRNA from 1 species